UUGACCUCGGAUCAGGUAGGGAUACCCGCUGAACUUAAGCAUAUCAAUAAGCGGAGGAAC
rnacentral:rRNA from 1 species